GGACGAACGCUGGCGGCGUGCCUAACACAUGCAAGUGGAGCGACGAACCAGGCUUCGGCCUGGGGCAAGGCCGCGAACGGGUGAGUAACACGUGGGUAACCUGCCCUGAUGAUUGGGACAACCCGAGGAAACUCGGGCUAAUACCGAAUGUGCCCUCCGGCCUCAAGGCCGCUGGGGAAAGGAAGCUUCGGCCUCCGCAUCGGGAUGGGCCCGCGGCCCAUUAGCUUGUUGGUGAGGUAACGGCNCACCAAGGCGACGAUGGGUAGCUGGUCUGAGAGGACGAUCAGCCACACUGGGACUGAGACACGGCCCAGACUCCUACGGGAGGCAGCAGUGGGGAAUCUUGCGCAAUGCGCGAAAGCGUGACGCAGCAACGCCGCGGUGGGGGAAGAA
rnacentral:rRNA from 1 species